AUUCCAGCUCCAAUAGCGUAUAUUAAAGUUGUUGCAGUUAAAAAGCUCGUAGUUGGAUUUCUGGCGGGAUGAACACGCCCUCAGCUGAGUGUGCAUGAGCGUCUCACCAUCCUUCUGUUAACCCUUAAGGUUUUAACGACCUUCUGGGGGCUCAGAUAUUUUACCUUGAGAAAAUUAGAGUGUUUCAGGCAGGCUAGCGCCGGGAUACAUUAGCAUGGAAUAAUGGAAUAGGACUUUUUCCUCUUCUGUUGGUCUGAGGGGUUCGAGUAAUGAUUAAUAGGGAUAGUUGGGGGCACUAGUACUUUGCUGUCAGAGGUGAAAUUCUCGGAUUUGCAAAAGACUAACUUAUGCGAAAGCAUUUGCCAAGGAUGUUUUCAUCG
rnacentral:rRNA from 1 species